rnacentral:lncRNA from 1 species
CUCUUUGGUCAGUGUUUCCUGUAAGUUAUCCAUCUUUGCCUCUAGUUUAUUUCCAAUGUCUCGCAUCAUCUUUAACAUCCACAGUCUAAAGUCUUUUUCCUGGAGGCUGAGAAUCUCCUCCUCACUUAGCUGAUUUUCUGGGGUUUUUCCUUUCUCCCUCAUCUGAGUUAUAGUUCUCUGUCUUUUCUUUUUUAUAGGUUUUUGGUGUGGUGACCUUUUUAUAGAUAAUAGAGUUGUAGCCUCUGUUACUUCUGGUGUCUGCCCUCCUGUGGCUCAAGUUGGUAUGGGGGGCUUGCUGUAGGCUUCCUGAUGGGAGGGGCUGAUGCCUGCCCACUGGUGGGUGGAGCCGAUUCCAAUCCCUCUGUUGGGUGGGGCUUAGUCUCUGGAUGAGAUUAGAGGCAGCUGUGUGCCUGAGGGGUCUUUUGGUAGCCUGUUUACUGAAAGAUGUGGCUGUGAUUCCACCUGGAUUGUUGUUUGCCCUGGGGCUUCUCAGUGCUGACUGACGGGUGGGGCCAGAUUUUCCCAAAAUUGCCACCUCCAGAGAAGGGCAAGGCUGCUGAAUAUUCCCAAGAGCUUUGCUUUCAAUGUCCUUCCCUCACAACAAGCCAUGUUCACCCGUUUUCCCAGGAUGUCCUCCAAGAACUUCAGUCAGGUUUGACCCAGAUUCCCUUAGAGAUUUUGCUUUGCUCUGGGACCCAGUGCAUGUGAAAGUCUGUGUGCACCUUUUAAGAAUGGGGGUCUCCAUUUUCCCCAGUCCAUGGAGCUCCUGUGCACAAGCCCCACUGGCCUUCAAUGCCAGAUGCUCCAGGGGCUCUUUCCCCCAGUGCCAGAUCCCCACACAUGAGUGUUUGAUGUGGGGCUCAGAACUCUCACUCCUGUAGGUGAGUUUCUGUGAACCAGUUAGUUUCCAGUCUGUGGAGCUUCCCACCCAGGAGGUAUGGGGUUGUUUAUAUCAUGAAAUCCCCCCUCCUACCUCUUGAUGUGUCCUCCUGUUUUUCUUCUGGAGUAGGCUAUCUUUUUUAAGGUUUCCGGUCCAUUUGGGUGAAGAAUGCUCAGUUUUUUUUGUGAAUUUUGUUGUUUUUAGAAGAGAAGUUGAGUUCUAGUCCUUCUAUUCUGCCAUCUUAAUCCCCUCCCUCAUGUAAUUCUUCAACAGAAAAUUUGUACUCUUCGACCAACAUUUUUCUACCCUCUUUCCCCUUGUCCUUGGAAUCACCAAUCUAGUCUUUGGUUCUGAGUUCAACUUUUUUAGAUUUCAAAUAUAAGCGAUGCUAUUGUAAAAGGAAUUGUUUACUAUUUCUUUUUCAAAUAGUUCAUUUUUAGUGUAUAGAAUGUAACUGCUUUUUAUUUUUAUUUUUUGUCUUUUUAGGGCUGCACCUGUGGUAUAUGGGAAUUCUCAGACUAGGGGUUGAAUUGGAGCUCUAGCUGCAGUCCUACACUACAGCUACAGCAUCAUGGGAUCCAAGCCGCAUCUGUGACUUACACCACAGCUCACAGCUACACUGUAUACUUAACCUACUGAGCAAGGCCAGGGAUCAAAUCCGAAUCCUCAUGGAUACCAGUUGGGUUGGUUAACAACAGCUGAGCCACGAAGGGAAUUCCGAACUGCUUUUUAUAUGUUGAUUUUGUAUCCUGAAUUCCUUUAUAAGGCCUAACAGUUUUAUUUUUUUGGGUGUGUAGAAUUGUAUUUGUCUUUCAUUCUAUUAAUGUGCAAUAUCACACUGAUUUGCACAGGCUGAACCAUCCUUUUAUUUCAGGGAUAAAUCCCACUUGAUCACAGUUUACAUUCCUUUUUCUGUGCUGCUAUAUUCAAUUUGCUGGUGUUGUGUUGAGAAUUUUUGCAUCUAUAUUUAUUGGAGAUAUUGACCUAUAGUUUUCAUGUCUUAUUUUGUCCUUAUCUGGCUUUGCUAUCUGGAAAGUAACAUAAUGUCUUUUCUAUCAAAGGAAAUCUCAGUUAAUCCAUUUUGCUCUGGUUUCAGCUGAAAUGCCCCUGUGACCCCCUUCCUCUUUACCUCUUUUCCCAGCAAAAAUUUGUUUCAAUUAGCCAACCAGGAAGAAUAUGCACCCUGACCUGACCAAUGGGAAGGGGACAGGUAAUCACCUGUGUUAGGGAUAAAUAGGGGAGGGUCCUUUGUUCAGUGUGCAUGCUUUUUGGAGUACCCGUGCCCUUCUACAGAAGUAAAGAGCCUUGUCGAGAUUUCUCCUUGUCCACAUGUCUCACUUUCUGACACUGACAACCUGAGCCAGAGUUAUCUUAAUUUCCAACAGACUCAAGGUAAUGCUGAACUCAUAAGAUAUUUCCUCUUCAAUUUUUUUGGGAGAAUUUGAGAAGGAUUGGCCUUAGUUUUUUUUUUUCCCCUCAAUAAAUGACCCCCUCAACUUUGAUGCAUCAGUUUCAGCAAAAAGUACAUGUUCUUAAUUAUUUUUGGUGUGCAGUGACAUUUCUAUAUCUAUUUUUGAACAUUAUUAAGUUAUAUUAUCUGUACAACAUAACCUGUUUUAAGUGUUCUUACUCAAAUUGUCUGAUAGUAUUUGUGUUUUUUUUUCUUUUUCAGAUUCUUUUCCCAUGUAUAUUAUCACAGAACAUUGGGGAGAGUUCUCUGCUAUGCAGCAGGUGUCCUUUGGCCAGUUAUUCUAUAUAACACAGUGUGCAUAUAGCAUUAGUUUUUAAAAUGUUUGGUAAAAUUUAUCCAUGAAGCCAUCUGGCCAAAGGCUUUUCUUUGUUGUGGGAGAUUUUGGAUUAUUGAUUCAAUCUCCUCCUCUGUUAUUGGUCUAUUCAAAUUUUCUAUUUCUUCCUGAUUCAGAGCUGGUAGGUUGUAUGUUUCUACAAAUUUAUCCAUUUCUCCUAGGCUAUCCAGUUUGCUGUCUCUUAUGAUCCUCUGUAUUUCUGUGGUUUGAAAAAUCAUUCUAGGAAAUGUACAAGAGUUUCCCCAUUCACAAGCAACUAUCUUUAAUAUGUUUUAUUCCGUGAGCCUGGUCUUUUAUCUUAGUAUGUUCACUAAGCUGGAUGGUUGAAUAAACUCUCAAUGUAAAAAUUAUUAAUGCUUUUUAAAGAUUUUAUCUUACUAAACUUUUGCAAUGAGAAAUUCUAAUCAUGUGGGCUUUGCCUUAGAGAAUUAUCUGAAGGUGUUCAAGACACUGAGCAUUGUGAAGAGCAUUGUUUCAUCCAGACACAGUUCAGAGAGGAUCAUCUAUUAUUGUUUUUGAUCAGCAGAAAAGGACAGAUUGAUGGAUAACAAGAGGAGAUAAAAAUAGCGAUGGUCUCCAACCUCUUUACAUUAUUUCUGUAACUUAUAUAAAUGUUAAGGCAGCUGUUAGUCC